AUUAUUAAUUGGCUAGCAAGGAAAGAUAAACGUACGACCGAAACUGAAUUAACCAGUGCGCACGACUAUAUAAAAAACAAACUUCCUUUGACAAUAAGUUUCUAAUUAAAACAUGGCUGCGCCUAGGCAGCGUUAUUGUGAGAGUGUAAGUGGACGUGCUGCUACUCCCCUCAUUCCCAACAUGUAUCAAGUACCUGCAUUGAGUAAUGCAAGAGUGAGAUGACACAUCUCAGCAAGUAAAAUAAUAUCAAACUAUUCAACCACAUAAGAACAUUGUUUUACCACCACCUGAUUCCACAACCUUCUUAUUACCAAGGUGCAUCACGUAUACAACGUACAACACACCUAGUUACCACACCUCGCAGGUAGAAAACCACAAUAGUAACAUAGUAAUGUCACACUUCAUAUAUUCCUCAUGAAUGCAAAUGUCUGCAAAUGCAAGGAUGACUUCUGCCUUCAUACCUCUAAGGAUAUGAAGCUGCAUCGUACCCCUCCUCGGGCAACGUACGAUGCUAAAAAUGUACCGGUACGGUCGGACCAUAAGAUCACGACAUAACUUCAAAAUGCAAGAUGGAUGAUGUGAUGUGCAUGUCAUGCCUACAACACUUCAUAUAACGUGAUUCAAAAAGAUACUUCAACUUCAUCUAAGAUGGGAAUCAACCACAUAUAUCAUAACCAAAUUAUGAUCAUCCACAAUAUUAGACAAUUGAGAAUUAAUACUUCCAAACAAAUAAACUUCAUCAUAGAAUUCAAUGAUUAACAUAAUUAAAAACUUAAGCAUACUCAAUGACAGGGAAUAGGAUGCAAACCAAACGGUAGCAACCACCACUAUAUUUACUUGCCUUUACCGGAAGUUCGGGCAAAUCCAUAAGUACGAUCCGGAAGUCCACCACCUGUUUUUGACAUACAACUUAGUGCACCUAUUUCACAUAAUCAGGCUCAUAAACGACGCCGCACCUACGCACAAACUUAAACCCCGCCGCGGGUUACAUCUCUCCCCACACCCACCAAACUGCAGCGGCGCUGCUUAAUAAUUUCAUAACCUUAAAAUUAUGACAACAGUGGUAACAAACAAAAACUCCAGAGGCAUCUACAUAAAAUUCCCCACAAGUUUUGUAUACAAUUUAUAAUUAAAUUCUAACAUCUAAUUAGCCUAAAACAGUCCACAAGAUGAACCCUGUAAUCUGUUUUUUUGUCUUUUGGACAGCGACAUACCCGGAUUCAAACAGCGAUAUCUUUUAAAAUAUAAUUCCAAAUCAAGCGCAUAAGUACUCAUUAGAAAGAUAAGACAAAGCCCUACAUGAUUAUCAUACUGGUUAACAGUAAUUACCCACGAAAAAUUCACAGAAACUGCUAAUACUACUGUUGUUCAUCCACCUGAAAAUCUGUUUUUUGGACAGCAACAUAACCGGAUUCAAACAACGAUAUCUCCUAAAUUAUAACUCCGAGUCGAGCGCAUAAGUACUCGUUGGAAAGGUAUGACAAAGCUCUACAUGAUUCUCAUAUUGAUUAUCACUAAUUUCCCACGAAAAAUCCCCAGAAACUGCUAAUACUACUGCUGUUCAUCCACCUGAAAAUCUGUUUUUUUGGACAGCAACAUAACCGGAUUCAAACAACGAUAUCUCCUAAAUUAUAACUCCAAAUCGAGCGCAUAAGUACUCGUUGGAAAGGUAUGACAAAGCUCUACAUGAUUCUCCCACUGAUCCCCACUAAUUGCCCACGAAAAAUUCCCAGAAACUGCUAAUACUACUGCUGUUCAUCCACCUGAAAAUCUGUUUUUUUUGGACAGCAACAUAACCGGAUUCAAACAACGAUAUCUCCUAAAUUAUAACUCCAAAUCGAGCGCAUAAGUACUCGUUGGAAAGGUAUGACAAAGCUCUACAUGAUUCUCCCACUGAUCCCCACUAAUUGCCCACGAAAAAUUCCCAGAAACCCCUAGAACUACUGCUGUUCAUCCUCCCACAAAAAAUCUGGACAGCACCUAUACCGAUUCGCAUAGGUAAACAUGUAAACAAUUGGAUUGCAGCACAAAUACUAAAAAGAAUGAUCUUAAAAUCACCUUGGGUUCCUCCUUUCCUCCUUCCAUUCUUCCUUCUUCCUCCCUCCAAACUCCAAUGGAAGACUCACACCCACACGACGGGGUACCAAGCGGGGAGGAUGCACCAUGGAGAGGAGGGGGCGGCUAGGGUUGA
rnacentral:lncRNA from 1 species